UAGAGGAAGUAAAAGUCGUAACAAGGUCUCCGUUGGUGAACCAGCGGAGGGAUCAUUACUGAGUUACCGCUCUAUAACCCUUUGUGAACAUACCUAACCGUUGCUUCGGCGGGCAGGGGAAGCCUCUCGCGGGCCUCCCCUCCCGGCGCCGGCCCCCACCACGGGGACGGGGCGCCCGCCGGAGGAAACCAAACUCUAUUUACACGACGUCUCUUCUGAGUGGCACAAGCAAAUAAUUAAAACUUUUAACAACGGAUCUCUUGGUUCUGGCAUCGAUGAAGAACGCAGCGAAAUGCGAUAAGUAAUGUGAAUUGCAGAAUUCAGUGAAUCAUCGAAUCUUUGAACGCACAUUGCGCUCGCCAGCAUUCUGGCGAGCAUGCCUGUUCGAGCGUCAUUUCAACCCUCAAGCACCGCUUGGUUUUGGGGCCCCACGGCACACGUGGGCCCUUAAAGGUAGUGGCGGACCCUCCCGGAGCCUCCUUUGCGUAGUAACUAACGUCUCGCACUGGGAUUCGGAGGGACUCUUGCCGUAAAACCCCCAAAUUUUUUACAGGUUGACCUCGGAUCAGGUAGGAAUACCCGCUGAACUUAAGCAUAUCAAUAAGCGG
rnacentral:rRNA from 1 species